AAUUUUUGCGCAUUUAAUUUCCACCGUCUGGCCAUGAAGCUCUCUAAACCUUAACCUUACCCAACCCAAGAAUUCCCGAAACGACCUAUGUGUGUGACUCCAGCGACUUGUGCGACUUUUGUAAGCAAUUAG